AUACGUAGGGGGCGAGCGGUGUCCGGAAUGAUUGGGCGUAAAGGGCGCGUAGGCGGCUUUGCAAGUCAGUAGUGGAAGUCCAUUUUUCAAGGAUGGAAGUGCUACAGAAACUGCGGAGCUUGAGUGCAGGAGAGGUUAUCGGAAUUCCCGGUGUAGCGGUGAAAUGCGUAGAGAUCGGGAGGAACACCAGUGGCGAAGGCGGGUAACUGGACUGCAACUGACGCUGAGGCGCGAAAGUGUGGGGAGCAAACAGGAUUAGAUACCCUGGUAGUCCACACUGUAAACGAUGAAUGCUAGGUGUAGGAGGUAUCGACCCCUUCUGUGCCGCAGUAAACACAGUAAGCAUUCCGCCUGGGGAGUACGGUCGCAAGAUUAAAACUCAAAGGAAUUGACGGGG
rnacentral:rRNA from 1 species